GAGUGGUGGCCGGGUAUGGAGGCGAAGGCGGCACCCAAGCCAGCUGCAGGCGGCGCGUGCUCGGUGUCGGCAGAGGAGACCGAAAAGUGGAUGGAGGAGGCAAUGCACAUGGAAAUAUUUCUUUAAGGACUCAUCAAACUGUGUGCAAACAAGGUCUGUUUCCAUCUCUCCCCCUUUUAUCAUGACAUCACUAGAAAGCAGUUUAUAGUAGUAAUGUCUUUGGAGAAAAUAAUAAACUACGAAGUCUCUUCCAUCUAGGUGCUUUCAUUAUCUGUAAUUGGGCAGGCCCUGACUAGAGAAAAAAAAAGAAAUUAUAUUCAAGGACAAAAUAGAGACCAGUGUUUGGGCUGGGAAGAACAGAGAUUUUCUUUAAUUUUGAAGGUUGAUCAUUUGUUACUUUAUGCAAAACCUAGUAGCCAUUUUUAAAUAGUAUCUGACCUUGGUCUUUCCCCCUAAAAAAGGCAAGAAAGGUUAAAUUCAAAGCUACCUGCACAAAUUUCAGACCCAUUUUGCCUGAGCUUU
rnacentral:sRNA from 1 species